rnacentral:rRNA from 1 species
CGGACGUGGGUAACCUGCCUCAUACAGGGGAAUAGCAGCUGGAAACGGCUGAUAAAACCGCAUAAGCGCACAGUGCCGCAUGGCACAGUGUGAAAAACUCCGGUGGUAUGAGAUGGACCCGCGUCUGAUUAGCUAGUUGGCAGGGCAACGGCCUACCAAGGCGACGAUCAGUAGCCGACCUGAGAGGGUGACCGGCCACAUUGGGACUGAGACACGGCCCAA